rnacentral:lncRNA from 1 species
AUGAUUGGAAACCACUUCUCUGGGAUGUCUUUCAGGAUAGUCAUGUUGUCCCACCGUCGUUUCAUUUACACAGCUCUGCGCACACAGCAGUCAGACAUCACAGCGGCGGAGAGACUGAGAAACGCGCGCGCGGCAGCUGCAGACCGGCGCCGGAAGACGGAGCGGUGCGUGGAAGACAUCCGAUUACAGACGCGGCGGAAGAGUAGCUAAUUGUUUACCUGGGGGAGGUCUCUUUCUGAACAUUUCCACACCUCUGAAAUUUUGCCGCUCUGUCCCAUGGGAAAAUCUACGUCGACAUGCAGACACACACACAGCGAGAAAGAGAGAGAACCACAUUGUCAACAGGAUCUCAAGGGUAAAACAGGGGACAUACCAAGUUUACGCUCACUCAGGAAAUUCAAUGAUAUUUAAUCCUUGACUACGACAGUAUGCAGAUCAGUCAGCUAAAACUAAGCCACUGCUAAUGAACCUGCAGCCGUAAUCUUGAUGCCUGACUGUUGUGAACCUUAGACAAAUUUUUGUCCAUCUCUUUUUCUUUAAUCGUGCUAAUAGUAAGAUAAUUAAUAAGACUGUUUAAAGUGGUUACACAUACACAUUAGUUAUGAAACAAACUGGAAACAUCAUUGCUAUUAAGACUAAAUGCUAGUGCUAAGUGAUAGAAAGUGGUCUGGUUAGGUCUGCUCCAGAAGCACAUUGAUGUCUGCAGGUCUGGUUUCCAAUAAAUUUCUCUCUGAAGACGCCACAUGCUGUCUGGUUUCUGUCUCUUAUGACUGAUAGAAAGGAAAUAUUGAGGCAGAAAGAAGAGCAUUCAAUAGUUUAGACAUUUUAUAGAAUAGGAGGCUAAAUUGCUCUUUUCUAUAUUAGUGUGACUCUGCUUAUGAAGUAUUAUUAAUAAAACAAAAGACGAAAAUACAGGUUCCAUAAAUAAGGCAAGAUAGUUCAUGAAGGUACAAAAGAUAUGACUACAUCCUCAACUGAAAGUAAAGCUAAACUGCAGUUUCCUGUCACAUGAAUAGAUAAUUAAAAAAAUCAUUCAGUUAGUGAUCAAACCAACAUUGACAUACAGUAGUAGACAUCAGCAUCAUUUAUGAAAUGUUUUAUAAUCUACAAUAACAUUUUCCAUAUAGGGGCCUGGUUUAAAUGUUCAAUAUAUUGACAUCAUAUAAUUUAUCAACUGAUAUCUGUGUUUUUCUUAUUUACUGUACUGUGCCAAAUUUUAAGAUUUAGAAUAACAGGCAACUAACUUAAAAAGGUGGUGAUCAAUUGUGAUUUAACCCUUUAAGAGCUCUACAUCUGACCAGUGGAGGGUUCCUUCCUUUAUUAUUUAGAAUGCUUAUGUUUUCAAAAGUAUAUACUAUUUUCUAUGAAAGUUUCAAAAGGAAUACAAUAUGUAUGUUUCAUAUUGUAUUAAAAUAUUGUGAUGUCUAAAUUACUGUAUCCCCCGGUUUCACAGACCAGGCUCAAGCCUAGUCCUAUACUAAAGUGUAAAUCUGAGCUGUUUUAACUGAAAGAAACUUGCACAGACUGAUCUUGAAAUAUAUCAGUGCCUUUGUUUUGUCUUAAGAUGCAUACAGGUAAUGUUUUUUCUAAUGCAUGUUAAUAAAAAUUACUUAAAUGUCCUAAUUGAACUAUGGCCUAAUCCUGGCUUAGUCUAAACCUUGUCUGUGAAACCAGGCCUAAGUGUUUUGAAAGUUUUAAUUUCCAAUCUUUUUACAAAACCAUAUAAUAUCAUUCAUAACAUGAAUGUAACAUCAGUAUUAGCUGGAAUUUCAAUAUCACUUACUUUAGGUUGGUUUAGAAACAUAGCUUUUCUCAAACAACACAGCAGUGCUUUGAUUUCAGUGCUUUAGUCCAUGAUCAUCAUCUCACAUUAGAGCAUUCUGACUUUCCCUGAAGGAAAUUUUAGUCAUCAUAACUGGCUUGCAAAAUGGCCCUUCUGCUCCAAUCCAUCUCCUCAGUGAAUUACUUAUAUCUUUCUAAUAUUGACUUUAAUAUUUCCUUAACCAGCAAGGGUCAUCAUGCAAAGUCAUCAGAGAGAUAUUUUUCGGUCUCUGAGCUGCCCUCAGAAGAUUAUUGACAAUCACCUGUUGCUUUGAAUACCUACAAUAAAGAUAAGAUUUCAUUUUAUGUAGACAAUCAAAGUAGACUGUUCGAGAGUGUGGGAAGAUUUGGGCUGGAGGAGGCCACCUCUGGGUUGAGAACAGAAAAAAAAUAUAUCUGCUGCAGCAGGUAAAAAUAUUCUCACAAAAAUAACAAAUCCAGAGAUGACAAAAUCCAGGGAUACAAAGAAAGCACAGUACAUUAGUACUGUUACAUUAGUUACAUUAGUACAUUAGUUAGUUAACACUAAAAGUUAACUUAGGUGAGAUGGAAUAAUUCUGACUAUUCACACACACUCACAUAGAUAGUCAAGCUGGUGCACGUGUGUCAGGCAUGAUUAGAGUCUAUUAUCAUGUAUCUGACUGGAGGCUUCCACACCACCAGAUCAAAAUCAAUGACCCACAACAGACACACACACACACACACAUACACACACACACACACACACACACACACAACUAACCUAACUUAAGACAGUACUACUAAGUAAACAGUACUUGUUCUUUUAGUUGAAUAUAAACACAGUCAGAUCUAGUACACAUCUUCACGCUGACAACAGACUGCAGUGGUGUAAAGCAGGUCAUUUGACUCACCAUCUCUAAAAAAGCGUCAUGCAGCACACAUUCUCUCACAUAUUUUACAUGCAAGCAUCCACACACAGUCUAUCACACAAUGCAAACCAGAAAGUGCCUUUUGCAUUUGAAUCAAGAGAAAACGACACUCUUUGUUAUUUAUUUGCAGUCAUGUAAGACUGCACAAGUAAGCUUUGGAGUUUUAUGAUCUAUAAUUUAUGAUCAGCAUAUGUGCAGCAUAUUUUACUUCCAUUGCCCAUGUAUUUUUCCUGUACAUGUUAUUCUAGUUUAUUGUUCAAUAUUUA